rnacentral:ncRNA from 2 species
AUUUACCACAAGGGGAGCCAGUGGCUGAGAUUGAACAUAUUGAAAUUGUUCUGACCCUUUGAACCUGUUAGUUAACACUAGUGUAGGGAUGUGGAUGGUCAUAAUU